CCUACGGGGGGCUGCAGUGGGGAAUAUUGCACAAUGGGGGAAACCCUGAUGCAGCGACGCCGCGUGAGUGAAGAAGUAAUUCGUUAUGUAAAGCUCUAUCAGCAGGGAAGAAAAUGACGGUACCUGAGUAAGAAGCCCCGGCUAACUACGUGCCAGCAGCCGCGGUAAUACGUAGGGGGCAAGCGUUAUCCGGAUUUACUGGGUGUAAAGGGAGCGUAGACGGCAGUGCAAGUCUGGAGUGAAAGGCGGGGGCUCAACCCCGGGACUGCAUUGGAAACUGGCAUGCUGGAGUGCCGGAGGGGCAAGCGGAAUUCCUAGUGUAGCGGUGAAAUGCGUAGAUAUUAGGAGGAACACCGGUGGCGAAGGCGGCUUGCUGGACGGUAACUGACGUUGAGGCUCGAAAGCGUGGGGAGCAAACAGGAUUAGAUACCCGGGUAGUC
rnacentral:rRNA from 1 species